GGUCUGGGGAGGGUAAUCUUAUGCAUGUGUAAAGAACUCACUUGUUUUGUUUGGAAUGGACCCAUGUGUCCAAAAUGUCUCCCUCAUAGAGUCAUUUAUUCUUGAAUUUCCUUCAUUAAAUGAUGAUCUUUUAUUUCUGGACUCCUGUUAAAGCGCAGGAGUUCUGAGAGAUAUAAAUUCACACCAAAGUAAAAAAAACUAAUAUCAACUGAUAUCAACACUUUCCUGAAAAAAACUCUUCUGCUACUGAGCUGACUAUAAGAAUCUGGAAGAAUUCAUUCUGAAAGGAGAAAAGGACACCAAUAUUUAGGAAGUGCCGAGGACACAUUUCUCUUUAUCGUCAAUUUGGCAAGGACUGACGCUGACAAGAAAGUUGGCAGAAGUUUCCCCCAAUAUUUUCAGUCUUAUACCCCAUCCUUUUACCUGUAACCUGGUAGGCAAAUAGUCUGGUAAGCAAACAAUCUGAUUACAGCAAAAUCACUCUCUGUGGCUGUUCGACAGCUAUAAGCUUUAAAUAUAACGAAUGAUUCUUCCUCUGUAUAGAUCCCUUCGCUUGGUAAGACACACCGUGACGUUGAGAAUACCUAAAAGUGGUGAUGACAGCUGCAUUAAAAAGCGGCACUUCUAACUGUAUCUUUGCUAAUGGGGUGGGUGCACCUACAGCGUGACUGCCUGGUGGUCUCAGCCUUCCUGUUCAUCACGUUGAGAAGAUCUGAGAACGCCAGGGAAGGAUUGUGCAGUGCUACAUGAGAUUUAUCUGAAAAGCACUUAUGCUUCAUUGCGUUUGCAUUUACCAGCUCGUGAAAGUGAAAGCACUGCCAUUACGUGGUACUCUAAUGGAAAAACCUCUCAUUUCGUAGACUCUAGCAGGUUCUGAACAGAGGGUUUCUGCUGCUCAAGUGGUAAGUACUCCAUAGGCCUGUCCCUUGAAUUUAUCACAUAGGAAUCAAGGUCAUACUUUACAUAAAACACAAAGCAGUUUUUGCCAGCUAAAGUUUAGUCUACAUAGGUAGAAUAAGAGGAAAUUUGAUAGAAUCAUAGCCAGAACAUUUAGGCGAAAUGAUUACUCUUGUCUGGAUUAAUCAGGAUAAGGGAUUUCUCUCGUUAAAUAAUGGCUUUAUCCGGGUUAUUUAAAUAGCCCCAUUAGUAUUUUUAACUGAGACCUUAUUUUAAGAAUAGAGUUUUUUUUAAAAAAAAGAGGGUUAAUUUUUAAAUUACUAAGGAAACACAUAGUUAACAAAAAAUAAUUACACAAGAUGUUAAAAUUCACUUGUUCAGCAGAAAAAAUACUAACCAAGAUAUAUAUGGAUCUUUCAGUACCAAGCAAUACAGAAUCCUUUUUGGUCCUAAUUUACCUGAAGAAUCUUUUUGCCAUCACUUAAAAGACUUUCAUGUAGUCAAAAUCAAUCUCUCACACUCCCCUGGACCAUUUUGUUGAUUUCUGACAUCCCACAUAUGCAAAAUCAUUUACUCAAAGUGACUAGAGAAGUGGAAAAAUUAGAGUUUCAUGGUUUACGAAUUGGAAUUUAUACAGAUUUUACAGCUUUGCUUUUAAAGAAAGGAAAAUGUUUUCUGCAGUUAAGAAAUCACUCCAACAGAUGGGCCUAUCUCCUCUAUUUUUAUUUCUAGUUGGCUUACGGGUGAAUUACCCUGGCCAUAGUUAUAAAUUUGAAAUUAUAGGAACUGCUGAGGGGUGAUUUUUUUUUUUUUCCUGCCUAUAAAAUACAAUGAGGACACAGCUGCAGCAUCUAGAAAGUGAGAGAAGCUAAAACCAUAAAAAUAAUACUGUUUCCUCUUCCUUGUUUUGGAUGCAAGAGUGAGCUUAUCUGGCUUCCCAUUAUUUAUAAUGAUUAAUCUAAGGCCACAUUCCCAGAAGAGUAAUUAGCCAGUCAAUUACUUCAGUGUGAAUCCAGCAUUUCUGAUUAAGUGUAACUUUACAAUUAGAAGUGGCCAAACAUUCAAUAAAGCAUAGUACAGUGUAUCUUUUUAUACUGAGGUAGAGAGGCUAUAGGAGAACACAGAAAUAUCACAGGAAUAUCACAGGAAUAACUGGGUGAUGUAACUCCACUGAAAAGAGAUCUUGGCACAACUGUGCGUAGCCUAUUAAAUAUAGUAGCACUGAAAUUCUAUUAAUCUUUCUACAUAUGUGUUUAUUGGGUUUUUACAUGUUUUUGGCCUACUACACGUUCAGUCUGUAUCUACUUUGCAUGUUAUUUUUAGCAAGUUUUUCAUUAAGAGAGAACACUUCUUUUUUUUUUUUUUUUUUUUUUUUUUUUUGUCUUUUUGCUAUUUCUUGGGCUGCUCCCGCAGCAUAUGGAGGUUCCCAGGCUAGGGGUCCAAUCGGAGCUGUAGCCACUGGCCAACACCAGAGCCACAGCAAUGAGAGAUCCGAGCCGCGUCUGCGAUCUACACCACAGCUCACGGCGACAUCGGAUCAUUAACCCAUUGAGCAAGGGCAGGGACCGAACCCGCAACCUCAUGGUUCCUAGUCGGAUUCGUUAACCACUGCGCCAUGACGGGAACUCCAAGAGAGAACACUUCUGAUAUUUGAUAUAUUUCAGGCUACCUACCCUUCUCCACUAUCUCCCAAUCAUCUCUCAGAUAGUGGUGUCAGCAGUAAGGUUCUGAAUAGCCAUGUUCAAAAAUAUUAAUCCUCUGAUAAAAUCCUUUAAGAACAAAUUCCCCAGAAGCCACAAGAUCACACUGAAGCUCUUUCACACGGCAUGAGGCUUUUCUUGGUCUGCAUUUUGCUUACCCUCUUAGGCUUUCUGAUCCAGCAAAACUAAGAGAAAUGGUAAUAGCAGAAAUUGUUGUUGUAAUAAUAGCAACCAUUUAUCGAGCAUCAAUUGCAUGAGAGAUAAAAUAUUCAAUAAUUAAUCUCAUUUAAUGUUCAUAGUAACACCACGAGGCAGGUAUUGUUACUCCCAUUUUACAGCUAGAAGAAGGGGGCUCUAAGAUACGAAGUAACUCAUUCAAGUAUUUGCAGUUCCUAAGUAGCAGACCUAAGGUUCUUCUCUUCAUCUCUUUGUUAUACCCUGACUAGGCCAUGCUCUUUCAUGCCCUUAGGCAUUUUCACAUUUUCUUUCAUCUUACUAUAGGACCAUUCAGUGCCUUGCUCACCUUGUUCACUUUAGAAACUACUGCUCAUUCUUAAGGUUUUCUCUAUGACAUCUUCUCUGACCUGCCUCCCAGGAAAAGUAAUCCAUCUUCCUCCCUGUCUCCCACAGUUCUGGCAGACGCAUGCACACAUACCCAUUACCACACUCUUCAUUAUGCUUUAUGAUAAUUUAUUUGUAUAUGUAAAUAUCUGUCGCUUCAGUAAGCUGUGACAACCCUCCAUUAAUCUUGAAACAAGACAAAAGUAUCCAACACAUUUUCACCAAGUUAAUAGAUAAAUGAGUGUAUUUCCAAGGAAUGGAGGUACAGCAUUAGCUGUGGGGCCAUGGACCAUCAAAAGGGAAUUCAAAAAGCAGAACGACAUUCAAGCAGCUUUGCAAGCACUCUAAUAUGUGAUUUCUGGUAUCUCCUGCUCUCUUUCUUCACUAGUUUCUACCAAGCUUGAUUGCAAAUUUUUCUCAGACCUUGGUUCUUAUCCUGAUCUCAUGCUUUUAGUUAAAACCCCUUUUUGACAUUAGAUAAAUAAAAAAAUGUACACCUAUUAGUUUUCUCUCAUUUUCCUGUAGCUGGCUCAGGUGAUCUUGAUUCUAAGAAUCUUCUUUAAUUUCUAUCAAUGAACAAUAAAACAUAUUUCUUUGCACCUAAUAUGAGCUAGGGAUUGCUUGGAUGAAAAAUAAAAACAAAAACAAAGCCUAUGGUUUUAUAAAGCAUAUGUUCCAGCAGUGAAAACAAAAAAAAUAUAGAAACAAACAAGAAAUAAAUAUUACAAUUUCUAGGACACACUGUGACUUCUAUGCAAUAUAGCCCUCUUCAGCAUUAGCUGUGACUAUGCUUGGAAAUAUAAUGCAAUUUAAAUACUGGCUAAUCUACACAAGUAUAUGUACAUCACAUUUUAUUUUAAACCAUUAUCCGCUUCCUGAUCAAUGGAAAGAACAAAAAGAUGGGUUAAGUGAAAAACAGAUAGUAAGAUAACAGAUUUAAGCCUGACCAUAUCAAUAAUCACACUAAAUGUAAAAAUGCAUAAAUUCCCCCAGUUAAAAGGCAGAGAUUACAUGCAUUAUCAACAAGAAACAUACUUUAAACAUUAAGAUACAAAUUAAAGAGGAAAGAUCAAGAUGGCGGAGGAGUAAAACAUCACGUUCACUUUCUCCCACAGACACAUCAAAAAACACAUCUACAUGUAAAAUGAUUCGCAAAGAACAUCUACUGAGCGCUGGGAGAAGAACUUAAAAAUCUAAAAAGGACAAGAAACUCUUGACAUAACUCGGUAGAACAAAAGAAGAGAGAGAGAGAGAGAAAAGGAAUCGGGACAGGACUAGCAAUCCUGAGAAAGAGCGGUGAAGGAGAAAAGGAACCCACAUCCGGGAAGCCACCUAACCAACAGGGAGAUCAGCCAAGACAGAGGGGCCUCAAAGUCACCGAGAAAAGUGCAGCAGCUGGACUGAGGAAGGCAAAGUAGAGGGAGAGCCACACAGACCAUCAGCACCACCUCCCCAGACACCACAGCCUGAGACACCUGGACAGGGGCUGGGCAGCGAGACUCAGGCUUGGAGGUCAGUUCCAGGGAGAGGCCAAGGGUUGGCUGUGUGGGACAGCCUAGGGAGCAGUGUGCCAUGGGCAGGGGAGCACUGUGCUACAGGCUGGGGAGUGGAAUGCCAUGGCAGAGGAAACCCGGGAGGAGGUCUGGGCCCAGAGAGGCAAGGUGCCAUUGCUGGGGAAGGUGAGAGGAGGAGGAGCGGACCACCAUAAGAACUGCUCUGUGCAUGCACUGGCUCUCAGAGGACAGAGAGCCUCUGGCACAGGUGGCGAGAAACCACUAGCUCAGGCUAUGGGAGACUGGGCACUUCUGUGUGGGCUGUGGGUACCUGGGCACCUCUUGUGUGGGCUAAGGGCAGUGGGGGGCUAAGUGCAACGUGGUGCCUCUUGCAUGAUCUACA
rnacentral:lncRNA from 1 species